UACGUAGGUGGCGAGCGUUGUCCGGAUUUAUUGGGCGUAAAGCGCGCGCAGGCGGUCUGUUACGUCCGUUGUGAAAGCUCCCGGCUCAACUGGGAGAGGUCUUCGGAUACGGGCGGACUCGAGGAAGGUAGAGGAAGGUGGAAUUCCCGGUGUAGUGGUGAAAUGCGUAGAGAUCGGGAGGAACACCAGUGGCGAAGGCGGCCUUCUGGGCCGAUACUGACGCUGAGGAGCGAAAGCGUGGGGAGCGAACAGG
rnacentral:rRNA from 1 species